AGAAGGAGAAUAACGGAGUCACCCGAGGAUUGCCGAUUGAUGAAAGUGUAUGAUUGCUCAUGAACCAUGCCAUUUGUUAUGGGAAAUAAGUUAGUUCUUACUUACGGAAAGAGCAUAUUCAUAACAUCAAAAAGGAGAACCUGCAAAGAAACAGAUUCUGAGGACUUCGAUAUAUAUAAAGGAAAUAAAUUACAACCAUGAUUAUUUUAGUGUUUGCUUCGCCGG
rnacentral:lncRNA from 1 species